AACAUUCUAAAAUUUAACAAUUUACCCCCAAAAAAGCACAGAAGACUCUCACCGCCCAUCUCGUUCGAUCUAAAAUCCUAACCCUAGUCUCAAAUUCAUCUCUUCACUCUCAACUUUCGAUCUGAAGUCCGAAACCCUAGUCUCAUAUCAAUCUCUUCACUCUCAACUGAAUCAACGGGGAAUCGAUGAAUUUCACUGUUGGAGCUCAUCAGGACUGGGAAUCGACGGUAGAUAUUUUUAGCUUCUCUCAUGUCUCUGUCUCACUUCAGAAGAAAAUGUAUUCCUUUACUGAUUAGUUCGUAAGAGUUCGAGAUUUUAUGACUAUGCCUGAGCUUUUGUCUCUUUUGAAAGCGGCAAGUACAUGGCGUCGAUUUUGCCAUUUUGAGGUUAUGACGUUCUGCAAUAUUAAAGUGAACUUAUGGGUUUUGCUCAAAAGACAAUAUUUGUAUUGAAAUGGUACGGCUCUAACUGUUGGAUUUUUAGCUUCUGGUGAAAUGUUGUGAGGGAAUGUACUUGGUCGAGUCUACUGAUGCAAUUUUGAUAACAUUUUUGGAAAGAUUCAAGCCCUAAGCUAAUUGAACGAGACUGGGGAUUUUAUCUGUUUUUCAAGUUCGCAAAGGGUGCAGGAUGUACCUCCUCUGCUGGUAGCCUGGUCCUACCAAGUUAAGCAUCCCGGCUCAAGAUUAAUGGAAGCAGAAUGAGAAUCAUGAGGGACAUCAGCAAUAGGAAAAACUGGUUUUGAAUACUUGGUUCUACAAGGAUUUCUGCAACUACUUCAUUAGGAAUGAGGGAUAAUGAAGUAUGUGCAUGUUCAGUUCUCCUCUAGCUUUCUUGUGGUAUUCUAGAAUAUCCUUCAUGAUGUUUUUAUUUUUGAGGCAUAUGCAAUUACUCUUGGUAGGUUUUGAAUACUUGGUUCUACAUUGGAAGAUGCAUGAUUGGAAGACUUCAAGUUUACAAAAUGGAUGUCAUUCUGCUUGGAGUAUUAGAAAAAGCUUCACAUUGCGAAGGAUGUUAGUUCCUUAUUUAAAGGGAUUGUAUAAAACAGUGACUUAUAUGUCAUGGCCAUUCAGUGCUACUUAUGGAAUGUUAAUCAUUUAUUCCUGUAAUUGACUAUUUAAUAUGUAAUUGACUAUUUAAUACUCCCUCCGUUUCAAUUUAUAUGAACCCAUUUGACUGCGCA